AUUGAACGCUGGCGGCAGGCCUAACACAUGCAAGUCGAGCGAGCGGCGGACGGGUGAGUAAUGUCUGGGAAACUGCCUGAUGGUGGGGGAUAACUACUGGAAACGGGAGCUAAUACCGCAUAGCAUAAGAUGUGCGCAGAUGGGAUUAGCUAGUAGGUGGGGGAACGGCUCACCUAGGCGACGAUCCCUAGCUGGUCUGCGAGGAUGACCAUCCACACGCGAACUGAGCCACUGUCCAGGUUCCUACGGUAGGCAUCAGUGUGGAUGAUUGCACCAUGGGAGCAAGCCUGAGUCAUCCAUGCCGCUUGUGUGAAGAAGGCCUUCGGGUUGUAAAGCACUUUCAGCGGGGAGGCGUUACCCGCAGAAGAAGCACCGGCUAACUACGUGCCAGCAGCCGCGGUAAUAC
rnacentral:rRNA from 1 species